rnacentral:rRNA from 1 species
CCUACGGGUGGCAGCAGUGGGGAAUAUUGCACAAUGGGGGAAACCCUGAUGCAGCGACGCCGCGUGAGUGAAGAAGUAAUUCGUUACGUAAAGCUCUAUCAGCAGGGAAGAAACACUGACCUUACGGUCAGCAGACGGUACCUGAGUAAGAAGCCCCGGCUAACUACGUGCCAGCAGCCGCGGUAAUACGUAGGGGGCAAGCGUUAUCCGGAUUUACUGGGUGUAAAGGGAGCGUAGACGGUGCGCCAAGUCUGGAGUGAAAGCCCGGGGCCCAACCCCGGGACUGCCCUUGGAACUGCAUGGCUGGAGUGCGGUAGGGGCAGGCGGAAUUCCUGGUGUAGCGGUGAAAUGCGUAGAUAUCAGGAGGAACACCGGCGGCGAAGGCGGCCUGCUGGACUGCGACUGACGUUGAGGCUCGAAAGCGUGGGGAGCGAACAGGAUUAGAUACCCGUGUAGUC